rnacentral:rRNA from 2 species
CCUGACUGCUAUCGGAUUGAUACUAAGCCAUGCGAGCCAUUGUAGCAAUACAAGGCAGACGGCUCAGUAACGCGUAGUCAACCUAACCUAUGGACGGGAAUAACCUCGGGAAACUGAGAAUAAUGCCCGAUAGAACACUAUACCUGGAAUGGUUUGUGUUCCAAAUGAUUUAUCGCCGUAGGAUGGGACUGCGGCCUAUCAGUUUGUUGGUGAGGUAAUGGCCCACCAAGACUAUUACAGGUACGGGCUCUGAGAGGAGUAGCCCGGAGAUGGGUACUGAGACACGGACCCAGGCCCUAUGGGGCGCAGCAGGCGAGAAAACUUUGCAAUGUGCGAAAGCACGACAAGGUUAAUCCGAGUGAUUUGUGCUAAACGAAUCUUUUGUUAGUCCUAGAAACACUAACGAAUAAGGGGUGGGCAAGUUCUGGUGUCAGCCGCCGCGGUAAAACCAGCACCUCAAGUGGUCAGGAUGAUUAUUGGGCCUAAAGCAUCCGUAGCCGGCUCUGUAAGUUUUCGGUUAAAUCUGUAUGCUCAACAUACAGGCUGCCGGGAAUACUGCAGAGCUAGGGAGUGGGAGAGGUAGACGGUACUCGGUAGGAAGGGGUAAAAUCCUUUGAUCUAUUGAUGACCACCUGUGGCGAAGGCGGUCUACCAGAACACGUCCGACGGUGAGGGAUGAAAGCUGGGGGAGCAAACCGGAUUAGAUACCCGGGUAGUCCCAGCUGUAAACUAUGCAAACUCAGUGAUGCAUUGACUUGUGGUCAAUGCAGUGCUGCAGGGAAGCCGUUAAGUUUGCCGCCUGGGAAGUACGUACGCAAGUAUGAAACUUAAAGGAAUUGGCGGGGGAGCACCACAAGGGGUGAAGCCUGCGGUUC